rnacentral:lncRNA from 1 species
UUUUAAUGUAGGGGUAUCUUAGUACUUUUAUAAAUAAUCAACACUUCUCUCUCUUCUAUUUCUCUCAUCUCUCUCUUAUACCAAACAACACAUCAGAUCUACUCUAUUUCUCACAUAUUUCUCUCUUCACAACUUCUCUUCCAAACCAAACACACCCAUAAUGAUGCAUGCUAUUGUUUUUUCAGCGACAAUUUUCAUGAUAUAACUUCCCCCAAACAUAUACACUUGAUUCUUCACAAUGCCACUCUUUAUGAAAACAACAUAUGUAACAGCAGUGCUUGUUAAGGUAGAGGAGCUGUGUUAGGCUGAGUUUUUGAGGCUGAGGCUGGGGUAUGCGGUUUUUGGUUUGGUUUGCUGUCAGUUUUUGCAUAAAACAGCAUCAGCUUCUGUUUUUAGCUAUAAUUUCUGCUUUCUGCUUCCUGUUUUCCUACCUGUGAUGUGUUCGGUUCUAGGAAUAGGAUGGGUGUAGGACUGUUUUGGGGUUUUUCUGGUAUGUCAGUGACCUUUGUAUCACUGGUUUUUCUGUCCACGAGUUAGCAGUGCUUCUUGUACGCUCUUGAUGUGAAUAAAUUUUGCAAUUUCUAAAAAACAUAUGUAAUAACUCUGACUCACUAGAACCUCUACUAUGAAUAGUUUAUGAUCUUGCGGAGGAGGAUACUUUCAAAUUCUCAUAAGAUCGCUUGACUUGCACCGAAAUCCAUCUAAGUGACAUGAAAAAGUACACAACGGUUUACUGAUAACUGGAGACAAUUCGUAACAAAUAGUCACAAAUGCAUUAAUUAGAAACUCACAGCGAAAUCAUAACUAACAACAAAACAUUUGAUUUGCCUCACUUAGCAAGGACUUCAGGUAAUUCACAUAUCCAUGUAUUCGAGAAUAAAAUUUAAUUGCAUAGUGAGGGAAAAAGUAAAGCACACAUCACCUUAAUAUCAUUUCUAAUUUUAUUUUAAGCUCACUUAGUUGUUUAAUCAUUUAGUUCAUUAAUUACUUUCAAUGGGAUUUGAUAAUUAGCUUUGCCCCGGACAAAAUAGGCAAUUAAACUGUCCCUGCUCGUCCUGCAAACACUAUGUCUAUGAUUUCAGAUCGAUAUCGCUCACCCCCUUACCUUGGCAUGCUUGACUGGCAAAAUCCUUGGUUCCUUUGACUGGCUCCUCCCACCACGGCUUUGUUUCUUCAUAACUACUAACAUGUCUAUAAAUCAUAAACAUUUGUCACUUUAAGUCUAAAACAUAAUUUAUAAUUAUAUGCUAGAAC